UUAAGCUAAUAAGAGCGCAGGGAGGAUGCCUUGGCAUCAGGAGCCGAAGAAGGACGUGGUAAGCUGCGAAAAGCUACGGGGAUUGGCAAGCACGAUAUGAUCCGUAGAUGUCCGAAUGGAGCAAUCCACAUGGAGUCAAGUCCAUGUAUCAUAUACUGAAUAAAUAGGUAUAUGAGGGGAACCGCCCGAACUGAAACAUCUAAGUAGGGCGAGGAAAAGAAAUCAACCGAGAUUCUGUGAGUAGUGGCGAGCGAAAGCGGAAGAGGCUAAACCGAGAGGAGCAAUCCUUUCGGGGUUUAGGACUGCAUUUAGUACAACGAUUGUUAACCGAACAGCAUGGGAAGGCUGAUCAGAGAAGGUGAGAAUCCUGUAGGUGAAAACGAAAGUUGAUGAGCAGUAUCCAAAGUACCGCGGGGCACGUGAAAUCCCGUGGGAAGAUGGGGGGACCAUCCUCCAAGCCUAAAUACUACCUGAUGACCGAUAGCGAAUAGUACUGUGAAGGAAAGGUGAAAAGCACCCCGGGAGGGGAGUGAAAGAGAACCUGAAACCCUGUGCUUACAAGCACUUAGAGCACGUCAAAGUGUGAUAAGGUACCUAUUGUAGAAUGGUCCGGCGAGUUAUUGUAUGCAGCGAGGUUAAGUAGUUCAGCUACGGAGCCGAAGUGAGAGCGAGUGUUAACAGCACGUUCAGUUGUAUGCAAUAGACCCGAAACCGGGUGACCUAUCCAUGUCCAGGAUGAAGUGAGGGUAAAACCUCAUGGAGGUCCGAACCCACUCCCGUUGAAAUGGUAGGGGAUGAGGUGUGGAUAGCGGAGAAAUUCCAAUCGAACCCGGAUAUAGCUGGUUCUCCCCGAAAUAGUUUUAGGACUAGCCUCGUGAUUAAGAUUAUCGGAGGUAAAGCACUGAAUGGCCUAGGGGUCGAGAGAUUACCGAAGCCUAUCAAACUCUGAAUGCCGAAUAAUCAUGCACGGGAGUCAGACUGUGUGAGAUAAGUUUCAUAGUCGAAAGGGAAACAGCCCAGACCUACAGCUAAGGUCCCAAAGUACGUUUAAGUGGAAAACGAUGUGAAAUUGCGUAGACAACCAGGAUGUUGGCUUAGAAGCAGCCAUACAUUAAAAGAGUGCGUAAUAGCUCACUGGUCGAGUGACUUUGCGCGGAAAAUUUAACGGGGCUAAAACGUACACCGAAGCUUAGGCUUGUCACUAUGUGACAGGGGUAGGGGAGCGUUGAAUGAGGGGUGAAGUCGUAGCGGAAGCGACGGUGGACUUCAUUCAAGUGAGAAUGCCGGAAUGAGUAGCGAGAAUUAUGUGAGAAUCAUAAUGGCCGAAAGCCUAAGGUUUUUGGAGGAAGGUUCGUCCGCUCCAAGUAAGUCGGAAGCUAAGGUGAGGCUGAAAAGCGUAGCCGAUGCACAAACGGUUGAAAUUCCGUUACCACAGAAAGAUUUAAACUAAGGGACACUUUUGAAGAGCUGAUGCCGGGUGUUGGUUACCCCGGUCGUAAGGGAACGAAAUUAAGUAGUGAAGUCAGCGUGGAUGAAGGCGAGAAAAGCUUGGUGUAUAUCUUAUGUGUCCGUACCGCAAACCGACACAGGUAGGUAGGAAGAGAAUUCUAAGGCCAACGGGAGAAGGGUAGUUAAGGAACUCGGCAAAAUGUCCCCGUAACUUCGGAAUAAGGGGAGGUUUCUACGGAAACCCGCAGAGAAUAGUCCCAGGCAACUGUUUAUCAAAAACACAGCUCUAUGCUAAAUCGAAAGAUGACGUAUAUGGGGUGACGCCUGCCCGGUGCCGGAAGGUUAAGAGGAGGAGUGAGAGCCCUGAAUCGAAGCCCCGGUAAACGGCGGCCGGAACUAUAACGGUCCUAAGGUAGCGAAAUUCCUUGUCAGGUAAGUUCUGACCCGCACGAAUGGCGUAAUGAUCUGGGAGCUGUCUCAACUGCCCGCCCGGCGAAAUUGUAGUACCGGUGAAGAUGCCGGUUACCCGCGACUAGACGGAAAGACCCCAUGGAGCUUUACUGUAGCUUAAUAUUGGAUUUCGGCAUUUCAUGUACAGGAUAGGUGGGAGACUAGGAAACAUAGGCGUCAGCUUAUGCGGAGUCGUCCUUGGGAUACCACUCUUGGAGUGCUGAAAUUCUAACCUGCAGCCCUGAAUCGGGUUGGGGGACAUUGUUAGGUGGGCAGUUUGACUGGGGCGGUCGCCU
rnacentral:rRNA from 1 species